GGCGCUUUGGUGGAGUGGCCUAACACGUUGCCCUGCUAUCUUCCGAUAGCUGCUUGCAAGGCAAUCCCUUCGGGGGCGCAGGUUCGAAUCCUGCAGGCGUCG